GACGAACGCUGGCGGCGUGCUUAACACAUGCAAGUCGAGCGGAAAGGCCACUUCGGUGGUACUCGAGCGGCGAACGGGUGAGUAACACGUGAGUAAUCUGCCCCUGGCUUUGGGAUAGCCACCGGAAACGGUGAUUAAUACCGGAUAUGACAGCUUCUCGCAUGAGUGGUUGUGGAAAGUCUUUUCGGCCAGGGAUGUGCUCGCGGCCUAUCAGCUUGAUGGUGAGGUAAUGGCUCACCAUGGCUUCGACGGGUAGCCGGCCUGAGAGGGUGACCGGUCACAGUGGGACUGAGACACGGCCCAGACUCCUACGGGAGGCAGCAGUGGGGAAUAUUGGACAAUGGGCGGAAGCCUGAUCCAGCAACGCCGCGUGAGGGAUGACGGCCUUCGGGUUGUAAACCUCUUUCGCCUGUGACGAAGCGCAAGUGACGGUAACAGGUAAAGAAGCACCGGCCAACUACGUGCCAGCAGCCGCAGUAACAC
rnacentral:rRNA from 1 species